GACGAACGCUGGCGGCGUGCUUAACACAUGCAAGUCGAACGGAAAGGCCCUGCUUUUGUGGGGUGCUCGAGUGGCGAACGGGUGAGUAACACGUGAGUAACCUGCCCUUGACUUUGGGAUAACUUCAGGAAACUGGGGCUAAUACCGGAUAGGAGCUCCUGCUGCAUGGUGGGGGUUGGAAAGUUUCGGCGGUUGGGGAUGGACUGGCGGCUUAUCAGCUUGAUGGUGGGGUAGUGGCUUACCAAGGCUUUGACGGGUAGCCGGCCUUAGAGGGUUACCGGCCACAAUGGGACUGAGAGACGGCCCAGACGCCUACGGGACGCAGCAGUGGGGAAUAUUGCGCAAUGGGCGGAAGCCUGAUGCAGCAACGCCGCGUGCGUGAUGACGGCCUUCGGGUUGUAAACCGCUUUCGCCUGUGACGAAGCGUGAGUGACGGUAAUGGGUAAAGAAGCACCGGCUAACUACGUG
rnacentral:rRNA from 1 species